GCGAGGCUUUUAAAGGUCUUGAGAGCAAAGGACUGAAAAUCCUUGUGUCCCCGGUUCGAUUCCUGGUGGCACCA
rnacentral:tRNA from 1 species